rnacentral:lncRNA from 1 species
AGUAGGGUUGAGAUCCCUAUUCCUCACAAACAUCUUGUGGAUAGCACAACAAGUAUUCAUGAGUUCAAGAGUAGGUAACUCUUUACCAAUUGUACUUUUAUAAUUCUCAACAUCUUUCAUUCUAGCCUCUAGAUCACAAUAGUCUUGUAGAUAGCACAACAAACUAUAGUAUUCUAGUUAAGUUGACCUUUCAAUCCCAUAUAGUCAUACUUAAAUAAUACUGCCCUUGUGGAUAGCACAACAAAGCAACACUAUUCAAAUAUGCCAUAAGCAUCAAUAUGCACUUG